UGGGGGAUAUUGGACAAUGGGGGAAACCCUGAUCCAGCGACGCCGCGUGGGUGAAGAAGGCCUGCGGGUUGUAAAGCCCUUUCGUUGGGGAAGAAACGAAAGUGACGGUACCUACAAAAGAAGCACCGGCUAACUAUGUGCCAGCAGCCGCGGUAAUACAUAGGGUGCAAGCGUUGUCCGGAAUUAUUGGGCGUAAAGAGCUCGUAGGUCGUUUGUUACGUCGGAUGUGAAAACCUGAGGCUCAACCUCAGGCCUGCAUUCGAUACGGGCAAACUAGAGUUUGGUAGGGGAGACUGGAAUUCCCGGUGUAGCGGUGGAAUGCGCAGAUAUCAGGAGGAACACCAAUGGCGAAGGCAGGUCUCUGGGCCAAUACUGACACUGAGGAGCGAAAGUCUGGGGAGCAAACAGG
rnacentral:rRNA from 1 species